GCUGAUUUCAUGAAGCUGUGUUGUUGAAAGCGAUGUGGCCUAAGUCACUAUGGAGAUAUGGCGUGUAAACCCUCUAUUCUCAGGAGUACGUCCUCCAAGCAAGGACCAGUAAAUUAAAAUGGGAGAAUCUGGGAAGAGAGAAGGAAGAGAGAAGGUCAACUAGCUAUCUGGGAGAGAGAAAAACUAAGGUGUGAGACCCCAUUCUCAGCAUGAACACAUCAGAUGAUCCAUCUCUUGAUUCCUGAAAUUGGGUUCCAUGUUUGUGA
rnacentral:lncRNA from 1 species